rnacentral:rRNA from 1 species
UGGGGAAUAUUGGACAAUGGAGGGAACUCUGAUCCAGCAAUUCUGUGUGUGUGAAGAAGGUUUUAGGACUGUAAAACACUUUUAGUAGGGAAGAAAAAAAUGACGGUACCUACAGAAGAAGCAACGGCUAAAUACGUGCCAGCAGCCGCGGUAAUACGUAUGUUGCGAGCGUUAUCCGGAAUUAUUGGGCUUAAAGGGCAUCUAGGCGGUAAGACAAGUUGAAGGUGAAAACCUGUGGCUCAACCAUAGGCUUCCCUACAAAACUGUUGAACUAGAGUACUGGAAAGGUGGGUGGAACUACACGAGUAGAGGUGAAAUUCGUAGAUAUGUGUAGGAAUGCCGAUGAUGAAGAUAACUCACUGGACAGAAACUGACGCUGAAGUGCGAAAGCUAGGGGAGCAAACAGG